UACUUGAAAAGGAUAAGUUCAGUAGCAGCCCAGCAAGCCAACAUGGUUGCCGCAUUAGGGGGCAAGGAUUAUAUGCGAAUGGGCUCACUGGAUGGACUUGGAGAUUUUCGAACAUUAGCUGGAUCAGGACGGUAUGCUCAUCCUACGUUGUCGUCGUACACUUCAGGGGGCAUGCUUGGCAGACUAAAUAGUGCUGCUGGUCUAAGUGUUCGCAAAGAUCAGGACGGUAUUCUCAUCCUACAUUGUCGUCGUACACUUCAGGGGGCAUGCUUGGCAGACUAAAUAGUGCUGCUGGUCUAAGCGUUCGCAAUCUGGCCGCACCUCAGCUACUCCAACCUAGUCAUGGUCAA
rnacentral:lncRNA from 1 species